GAUGAACGCUGGCGCGUGCCUAACACAUGCAAGUCGAACGGAAUUUACAUGAAGCCUAGCGAUUGUAAAUUUAGUGGCGGACGGGUGAGUAACGCGUGGGUAACCUGCCUUGUACUGGGGGACAACAGUUGGAAACGACUGCUAAUACCGCAUAAGCGCACAGCUUCGCAUGAAGCAGUGUGAAAAACUCCGGUGGUACAAGAUGGACCCGCGUCUGAUUAGCUGGUUGGUGAGGUAACGGGCCCACCAAGGCGACGAUCAGUAGCCGGCCUGACGAGGGUGAACGGCCACAUUGGGACUGAGACACGGCCCAAACUCCUACGGGAGGCAGCAGUGGGGAAUAUUGCACAAUGGGGGAAGCCCUGAUGCAGCAACGCCGCGUGAGUGAAGAAGUAUUUCGGUAUGUAAAGCUCUAUCAGCAGGAAAGAAAAUGACGGUACCUGACUAAGAAGCCCCGGCUAACUACGUG
rnacentral:rRNA from 1 species